GACGAACGCUGGCGGCGUGCUUAACACAUGCAAGUCGAACGGAAAGGCCCUGCUUUUGUGGGGUGCUCGAGUGGCGAACGGGUGAGUAACACGUGAGUAACCUGCCCUUGACUUUGGGAUAACUUCAGGAAACUGGGGCUAAUACCGGAUAGGAGCUCCUGCUGCAUGGUGGGGGUUGGAAAGUUUCGGCGGUUGGGGAUGGACUCGCGGCUUAUCAGCUUGUUGGUGGGGUAGUGGCUUACCAAGGCUUUGACGGGUAGCCGGCCUGAGAGGGUGACCGGCAACAAUGGGACUGAGAUACGGCCCAGACUCCUACGGGAGGCAGCGGUGGGGAAUAGUGCACAAUGGGCGGAAGCCUGAUGCAGCAACGCUGCGUGCGGGAUGACGGCCUUCGGGUUGUAAACCGCUUUCGCCUGUGACGAAGCGUGAGUGACGGUAAUGGGUAAAGAAGCACCGGCUAACUACGUG
rnacentral:rRNA from 1 species